UUUCCGUAGGUGAACCUGCGGAAGGAUCAUUAAAUAAUUUAGAUGGCCUUUGCUAGUUUUCUAGCGAAUGGUUCAUUCUUUUUUACUGUGAACUGUUUUAAUUUUUCAGCGUCUGAGGAAUGUCUUUUAGCCAUAGGGAUAGGCUACUAGAAUGUUAACCGAGCUGAAAGUCAGGCUUAGGCCUGGUAUCCUAUUAAUUAUUUACCAAAAGAAUUCAGUAUUAUAAUUGUAACAUAAGCGUAAAAAACUUAUAAAACAACUUUUAACAACGGAUCUCUUGGUUCUCGCAUCGAUGAAGAACGUAGCAAAGUGCGAUAACUAGUGUGAAUUGCAUAUUCAGUGAAUCAUCGAGUCUUUGAACGCAACUUGCGCUCAAUGGUAUUCCAUUGAGCACGCCUGUUUCAGUAUCAAAAACACCCCACAUUCAUAAUUUUGUUGUGAAUGGAAUUGAGAGUUUCGGCUUUAUUGCUGAAUUCUUUAAAAUUAUUAGGCCUGAACUAUUGUUCUUUCUGCCUGAACAUUUUUUUAAUAUAAAGGAAUGCUCUAGUAAAAAGACUAUCUCUGGGGCCUCCCAAAUAAAUCAUUCUUAAAUUUGAUCUGAAAUCAGGCGG
rnacentral:rRNA from 1 species